UACAGAGGUCCCGAGCGUUGUUCGGAUUCACUGGGCGUAAAGGGUGCGUAGGUGGUGGGGUAAGUCUCGUGUGAAAGCUCGCAGCUUAACUGCGAAAAGUCACGGGAUACUAUCCGGCUAGAGGCUUGGAGGGGGGACUGGAAUACUUGGUGUAGCAGUGAAAUGCGUAGAUAUCAAGUGGGACACCAGUGGCGAAGGCGAGUCCCUGGACAAGACCUGACACUGAGGCACGAAAGCCAGGGGAGCAAACAGG
rnacentral:rRNA from 1 species